rnacentral:lncRNA from 10 species
GAAGCUUGGCAUGAUUUGCCAUUUUACUGCUCCUCUGGAAUCUGUGCUUCCUCCCGAGCGCAGGAGGUUCCCCUGCCGCGGCUGCCGGCCCCAGGACCUGGAUGGAGAUCGCCCGAGGAGAAUCCGUUCUCCUGGUCACACUACAGAGGCCUAGGGGGACGAGACCUGCGGGGCCUGUCCGGACCCGAGGCGGCGCUCGGGAUGGUCUCCCGUGGAGCAGAAACGCCGUUUCCUGGAGACAAGAUGUUGCUGUGCCAUCCAGGCUGGAGUGCAGUGGUGCAAUCACUGCUCACUGCAGUCUGGAACUCUUGGGCUCAACGGAUCCUCCCACCUCAGCCUCCUGAGCUGGGACUACAGGUGUGCACCACCACAUCUGGCUAAUGUGUUUUUUGUUUUUUUUGUGUGUUUUUUUUUAAUAGAGAUAGAGUCUCCCUACGUUGUCCAGGCUGGUCUCUAGCUCCUGGCCUCGAGUGAUCCUCCCACCUUAGCCUCCCAAAGUGCUGGGAUUACAGGCAUGAGCCACUGCACCCGCACCUGGCCUUACAGUUUCUUUCUUUCUUUCUUCUAACCAGGCUCCCAGAAAUAGCGUUGGAUCCUUGAGACAGCCCAUCACCCUAACACCAAUUUCCUUAGCUCAUAGGAUUGAAAGGAGCAAUGGCCCAGAGAAGAGAAAAGCAGAUGGGGCGGAAGGGCUGCUUCUACAGGAGCCGCCCGGGAGGCUCCAGGCUCAUAAUUUAGUGAGAAGGCAUCACAGACUUUCCCAGGGCAAGGGGACGUCAGCAGAGGAGCAUAAAUGCCAGGAGACAUUUCUCAGACUAUUCUGGCAAAACCUCCCCUGAAGCGAGCCCCGACUUCUGCUGGGAGCCCUAGGAGAGGUGAUGGGUUCAGCUAAAUAAGUGGCCAGGACCUUCCCCAGCUUCGGGCCUUAUCUGGGACUGCCCACCGCCCUUGGACCCGCCUCAGAAGCCAUUCAGACACCUUCACCGCAGUGGGGAGAGCAGCUGCUGGCUAUGAGGUCACCAUGGUGACUGUUGACAGCCGGCAUCCUCAGGCCUGGCCUGGCACGGCCCCGGGGAGCAGAGGGGCUGUAGGCCACAGCCCGCCCACCUGCUGCCUCGGGGCAGCCUGUGAGCAUCGAUCUCCCCCUGGCAGUACCAGUUCAAAAGCAGGGCUCCAAGCGGAGGCAAAUGCUGUCAAAGUGCCCCUCCAGGAGAGCUCUAAGGCAUUACAGACUUAAACUAUUGUCAUUAUAAAUAAAAUCGAACUCAUUACUCAUGAGAUAAUAAAAAUUAUGAUGUUAGAAAAAUCCUGGCCUAGUCAAAAUAUCCUAAUUCUCCACCUGAAUGUCCCCAGAACUUGUGACUCACACCUUUAUCCAGUCUUUCUGAUAUCUUGCUGAAAUCUGUUUUAAGAUUAUUUACUUCUAUUUCUCUGAGGUGCAGGAUGACCAAUAACCUUGCUUCUCAAAAAUCUUCAGCUAUUUUAAGGCGAAUUAAGCCUUCUCUUCUUUAAGCUACAGCAACUUCAAUUACUUUAGCUAGUGCUUUUGUUUUUUUUCUUCUGAGACAGAGUUUUACUCUUUGUUGCCCAGGCUGGAGUGCAGUGGUGUGAUCUCCACUCACUGCAACCUCUGCCUCUCGGGUUCAAGCAAUUCACCUGUCUCAGCCUCCCGAGUAGCUGGAAUUACAGGCGCACGCCACCACGCCCGGCUAAUUUUUGUAUUUUUAGUAGAGAUGGGGUUUUACCAUGUUGGCCAGGCUGGUCUCAAACUCCUGACCUCAGGUGAUCCGCCUGUCUUGGCCUCCCAAAGUGCUGGGAUUACAGGCACGAGCCACCAUGCCCGGCCUAGCUAGUGCUUUUUAAUGACCAAACAUCUUUUUAUUUUAUGUUUUAAUGACCGUGGUAUAUCUGCUCAAUACAUUAAUUUCAAUCGACUUAUUCUGCUCUUAGAAGUCCACUUGCCAAUAAAGACAAGGGAAAAGGAAAAAAGAAUUUGAGGAAAGCAUAGGAAAGUUAUAUGACCAUUUAUCAAGAUGAGAGGACCAGCAGCCAAUUUUUAAAAAAAUGUGUUACUUUUAAUGGUUUUUUUUUUAGAGCAAUUUUUUAUCUCUUUUAAUCAUCUCUAUUGCCCAUCUCUGAAUCCCUUCCAGUUUUCAAUGUUUUUAAGAACGAUGUGGCUGGGCACAGUGGCUCACGCCUGUAAACCCAGUGCUUUGGGAGGCCAAGGCAGGUGGAUCACCUGAGAUCGGGAGUUCGAGACCAGCCUGACCAACAUGGAGAAAUCCCGUCUCUACUAAAAAUACCAAAUUAGCCGGGCAUGGUGGUGCAUGCCUGUAGUCCCAGCUACUUGGGAGGCUGAGGCAGGAGAAUUGCUUGAACCUGGGAUGCAGAGGUUGCAGUGAGCCGGGAUCGCGCCAGCCUGGGCAACAAAAGCGAAACUCCGUUUCAAAAAAAAAAAAAAAAAAAAGGGAUGUUAAGCAAAACGACCCAUUAUUCUAAUCAGGGUUUGAGUUGCUACAUUGUAUCAGAGAAGAACUACUUUCCAAUCUCUGUAAGUCACACAAGUAUACUUUGUUAUAGUCCAGUUAUCAGCUCACUUUGUUUCUUUGCUUCUAACAACACUAACUUGAUAUUUCAUAUUGAGGUUGUGGUCAGCCAGGGCCCCUGAAUUUUUGUUUUUGUUUUCUGUUUUCUAUGCCAGUGCCUGACUAUCAAGUAUCUUGAUAUUAGUAUGGGCUCCCUGCCAUUUCAUUUAGAACUUUGUAAUUGAGGCAUAAUAAACAUGUAUAUAAGAUAACACGUAAUUAUACAACUUGAUACGUUUUCACAAGAAGAAAAUGUCUGUGUAACCACCAUUCAGAUUAAGCAACUUUAUAUUAUCAACAGCCCAGAAGCCCCUCUGCUGUCCUCCUUUACCAUCCUUGCCCCACCCUGAGGAGGUUAACCACUAUCCCGAUUGCUAACACCAUAGAUUAAUUUUGCAUAUUUUUCUUCUUUAAAAUAAUUCAAUCACAUAGUGUGUACUAUUUAGUGUCUGGUUCAUUCACAUUGCCAUUCAUUUCUACUUUCUUUUCUUAUACUUAGCCUUUUCAUAAGCAGGCCUAGAAGGAUCUAGGGGUCUGAGAACCAAGGUGUUUCAACUCCAGACCCAUCUGUUUUGACUAUGGCUAAGUAGCACAGUACCUAUGACAUGCCAGAUCUCUGAAUUAGAAUUUUACUUGAACCAUUUACUGGUUAUGUUGUUCCUUUCACCCUUUGAAAUCAACUACCUCCAUCCUAGGUCAAUUCAUAUUCUUAUAUCAGGGUAACCUUAGAAGAGUGUGUGUGUGUGUGUGUGUGUGUGUGUGUGUGUGUGUCACUGCUUUAGCCCCAUGGGAAAUUAUUUCUGCUAUUAUGAGGGAAAUGAUUGUUGAGAGUUGUGGUUAUGUUAGGGAAGUCUUUAUUUCAGGUGUUCAAUUCAGCAUUUAAUUCCUAGUUGUCGUUGCUGCCAAUACGUUAUAGGAGUGGCAGGUCUCAGAGGCAGGGGAAUUAUGUGUGUGCAAUGCCUCAGAGCAGUGUUUCCUGACCUUUUCCGUAAGUGCCACGGUAAAACAUGAUCAUAUUUAUAUGGCAAACUGGCAUAAGUGGAAGAGAUAUUUUUGUAGUAGUAGCUGAUAACACAUAAGACAAUGUUCUACAGCUACUCAAAUCUUUAUAUUUAUGUAUUUACUUAUAGAUAAAUAUUAUAUGUAACAUAAUAGAAGUAUAUUAUAUGUAACAUAUAUAUGUAUAUUAUAUAUACAUAUACAUAUAAUAUUAUAUGUAACAUAAUAGAAGUGUAUUCAAAUAUAUUUGCAAAUAUAGUUAACAGAUAUUUGUAUUUAAGGAAUGCAAGCUUUUUCUUUUCUUUGUGUCAUAUGCAAUGUUGGACUUUUGUGUGCAUGCCUACAUGAAUAGAAUUUCAAAUCCAAACUAAUUUAUUUUGCAUCAAUUAUUUCAGAAUAAAGAAGUUCUCGUUUUCAGAAUACACACACAUUGUUAGAGCGGUGCUUCAGCAACUAUCUUGGAUGUCACCAAAGGGGCACAUCACUCAAAAUCACAACAGAAAUCUCCCAUCUGUGUGAAGACAGAGGUAGAGCUGGGCCUGCCAGAAGCCCCUGCCUGCUCCUGACUGGUCUUUGGGCUGUGGGCCAUGCUCCCUGGGCACGUGGAACACAAGGUCCUCUAGCUGCUUGUGGGCUUCUUGUCCAUGUACAGCAGCUGCAGACUUUGUGGCUGGCUGCUGAAGCCCAUGGCCAGGUGGCGGAGGCAGAGCAACAGGUGGGGGCGGCUGCACAUGGUGCGUGCCGCCUGCAGGACCCUGGACCAUGCCUGCAGACCCCAUGCUCCCUGGCUGCCCUCCCAGGAGCAUUAAGUGAGGCUCCCCCAGCUGCUCGAGGCCCUGCUCAGCUGCCCUGAAGGAUGAGGGGAUCAUCUUGCAUGGCAUGCCUGCAACUCAUUUGCAGCUUUCUAGUUUGCUCACCAUUCAAAACUUUGCUCCUAAGAUGCUUUAGUGACUGAGACCAAAUGCUCUAGAACCUUCCAUGAAGCAAGCUCAUAUGUGCGCCAGUUGAGACUAGGAGAGCUUUGUUGGAUGACUUCCUGAUUAUCUAGUCAGAAGGCUGAUGAAAAGGUGUCUGUAUGAGUGUGGGGCUAAAGACAUUUACACAGGAUGCAGAAAGGUGACUCAGAGAUCCAGGAAAUAUGAAUCAGGCCUGCUGAGAACCCGUGAGGAUUGGCAGUAGUCUGAGAGAAGAGUUUCAUUCUAAAUUCAGCUGGACCACGUCAGGCUGUAUCAGAGAGGUUUGUCAUAGGCAAUUCAAAUACAGCAACUGAGAAGAGUUUUUAAAACAUUUAAUUCUGUUUUUUAGAGACAAGGUCUUGCUCUGUUGCUCAGGCUGGAGUGCAGUGGUGUGAUCAUAGCUCAUUGCACCCCUCAAACUCCUGGACUCAAGAGAUCCUCCUGCCUCAGCCUCCCAAGUAGCUGGGACUCCAGGUGUGUACCACCAUGCCCAGCUAAUUUUUAAGUUUUUUGGUAGAGAAGGGGUCUUGCUGCAUUGCCCAGGCUGGUCUUGAACUCCUUACCUCAAGUGAUCCAUCUAGCUCGGCCUCCCAAAGUGCUGGGAUUACAGGCAUGAACCACCAUGCCUGGCCCAGCAGAGUUUAAUAAAGAAAUUAUUGACAAGAGUUUACAGAGUUAAGAAAAGUCAAAAAUAGUUAAGGAAACACCACAGGAGGAGGGAGCCAUUAUUCCCUCUAGGCUUGAAGAGAAGGAGCAAGGGGAGGGAGCAGGUAUCAGAACCUGGGGAAAGAAACCCUGUGAGGUGGGAGCUGUAAUCUUUGGUACAGUGUUGAGGCCACUGGCAACCUCCAAUCCAGUGGGAAGGAGCAGGUGGAAAAAAUGCUACAACUCACUCUCCUCCUGCCUCCAGUCUCCUGCCAGUGCCUUCCUCUGGCUAAACCCACGUAGCUGCUGAAGACCAUGGCACCCAUUGGUGCAGUCCACAAAGGCCUGCCUGUGGGACAUAGAGUAGAGAGUGGAAAAAAGAGACACCCUGCACUUCACCAUCCACAGAAUGAUGGCAGGUCGCUAACAUCAUGCUCUCAUCUCAAAUCUAAAGUGUUAGCCAUGAUGCUCUUCAUGGGAGGUUUUGGGGUGAAAGUGAAGAAAGAACAUCAAGUAAUUAACAUAGAAGCUGCUACAUGCUAUACCUGCUUCUGAGGCCCAAGUUAGUAAUAGUGGCUUCGUCCCCUUACUGCCUAUUACCUAUUUUCCUAUUCUCUGAUAGUGCCUCAACCGAGCUGGGUUCGUUAUCUUUAUUCCUUCACGAUCAGCAUCCUUGGUGGUCCUGUUGUUAUUGGGUUGCCUCGAUUUUCCACUGAACAGUGAAUUAAGAGAAUACUAAGCACUGGCCUGUAAAUUCCUGGACUCUGCAUAAAGUCUUCCCUGCCCUCAUUGUAUAGUGAGUGGCAAGCAAAUUCCUCCUUUGUAAUCAUAUCAGAUACCUUGGCCAGCAGUGCGAGCCCCAUUUCUGCCUGUUGGAUCAGUAGAAAGAGAGCCUGAAAUGGUUAGAAGGCAGUCUCAGCUUCCCAUUUAACAGAACCUUGGUUGUGUUCCCUUGUUCUUCCCUUGUGCACAAAGACCUGCAAACCCACUGAGCUCAAGUUUGCAAGGAUCAGAAGCAAACACCUCCUAAGAGGAUGCAACAGGUUUGGUGUAGUGGCUUAUGCCUGUAAUCCCAGCACUUUGGGAGGCUGAGGCAGGAGAAUCACUUGAUGCCAGGAGUUUGAGACCAGCCAGGGCAAUGUGGCAAGACCUCCCAUCUCUACAAAACAUACAGAAAAUUAGUCGGGUGUGGUGGUGUGUGCCUAUAGUCCCAGGUACCUGGGAGGCUGAGGUGGGAGGAUCACCUGGGCCUGGGAAGUUGAGGUUGCAGUGAGCUGUGAUCGUGCCACUGCACCACUGCAUUCCAGUCUGGGUGACACAGUGAGACUCUGUCUCAAAAAAUAAAAAAUAAAAAUAAACCCUGUGCUGCACCUUUUUUUUUAAUCUUAAGAUGAGUUUUCUGAUCACAGGCAAUGUGAUCUAUAGUGAUGAAUAGGGCAUUCUAUAGGGACAGUGUUGGUAGAGUGUUAUGAACAGGGAAACCAAAAACAUGUAGAAUAUAGAUCUAUUCAUAUAAGGACCCAUCACUGCCAUACCAUGUUGGAUGGGAUUUACUAUUAGCAAUCUGCCACCAGAUUGAUGGUGACUUCAGCUCAGCGAAUAAUACAGACCAACCCUGACUUAGGAUGGUUCAACUUACUGACUUUUACAAUGGUGCAAAAGUGACACACAUUCAGUAGGAUCUGUACUUCAAUUUUUGAAUUUUGAUCUUUUCCUGGGCUAGCAAUAUGUGGUACAAUACUCUCUUGUGAUGUUGGGCAGAGGCAGCAGCAGCAGCUCCUGGUCAGCCAGGUGAUCACAAGGGUCAACAACCAACACUCUACAGUGCCCUGUGUGGCCAGAUGACUUUGCCCAAUGACAAGCCAAUGUAAGUGUUCUGAGCAUGGUUAAGGUGGGCUAGCCUAUACUAUGAUGUUUGGUAGGUUAGGUGUAUUAAACACAUUUUCAACUUAAGAUAUUUUCAACUUGCAAUGGGCAUAUGGGGACACAACCAGGUCGUAUGUCUAGGAGCAUUGAUGCCAUAUGGGGAACUCAGCACUGACUUCUGUUAUUGGCUGCACAUUGUUAAGACAAUCACAGUCUUCAUCCCAGAGAAGAGGUGGAACAAGCCACCUCGUACAUGGUCUCAAUGAUUAAGUCCAGGGAUGCCCUCUGGUAGGCACUCAUGUAGGACACAAAUGUCUUCACAAUCUGUGUCUAGAUAGUGAAGUCUACCCAGACACCCUUCCCCAGAACUCCUUGUCACCAAUAUUCCAGUCUUGUUCUUCAGUCCUUGACCAGUUGGCCAUCCCAUUAGCGUCUGCUCAUGAUUCUGUGUAAAUCUGUACUCCAGACCAUUUCUCAUUCCAUUUGAAGUGAAUAAUCUGAUAUCCUUCCCAGAAUGCUGCCUACUGGGAUGAUUUUCCUUCACUACUCGCUUUCACAGCCACAGCUGAAUAGGAAUACAGUGACACUGGCCAUCUGCUCCUGGCUGAUGCUGUGUGUCUUUAAACUGGGCCUGGGGUUUCUCUUCAUUAAUUAGUCAUAGGGGAUUCCUACAAAGCCGAAAAUAUAAGUUGUGAGAGAGGCAAGUAGGUAAUAGGGGCAGGUUCCAAGAGUCUGAGCUAUCUGCUUGAAUUAGGUUUUCCAAGAAAUGAAAGCAACAGGACAUGCAUAUAUACAGAAGGAUCUAUUGUAAGGAAUUGGCUCACUCAAUUGUGAAGGCUUGGUGAGUCCAAAAUGUGAUGGUGGUAGGUCAGCGGACUCAGGAAAAGGUUGCAGUUUGAGUCCAAAGACAGUCUGCUGGUGAAUCCCCACUUGCUUGGGAAAGGUCAGCCUUUUGUUCUAUUCAGGCCUUCAACUGCUUGGAUGAGGCCCACCCACAUUAUAGAGGGCAAUCUGCUUUACUAAAUCAAUGGAUUCAAACUUAAUUCUCAUCCAAAAACACCCUCACAUAAACAUCUGGAAUAAUAUUUGACUAAAUAUCUAGGCACUGUGGCCCAGUCAAGUUGACAUAUAAAAUUAGUCAGCAUACUGCUUAUGCAAUUUAUUUGGG